GGCACGACUCUCGGCAAUGGAUAUCUCGGCUCUUGCAUCGAUGAAGAGCGCAGCGAAAUGCGAUACGUGGUGCGAAUUGCAGAAUCCCGCGAACCAUCGAGUCUUUGAACGCAAGUUGCGCCCGAGGCCAACCGGCUAAGGGCACGUCUGCCUGGGCGUCAAGC
rnacentral:rRNA from 1 species